ensembl:lncRNA
GUAUCAAGUGUUCUGUGUGAGCUAUAAUUCUUGAUGUUGUAUAACUAAGCCUGUAAUUGGGCUAGUUUCUCUUACACCCAAGUACAGCUAAAAAAUGAAGUACUGUUUAACAUUUGCUCCCAAAAUAUUUCUUACUGUGUAAAAGAAGCUAGCUUAGUCUGUACCUAGAAUUCCUUUUGGUUAGAGGAGAUUCUUUUCCAUUAACUUGUUUCCUGAUCGAGAAACACAUGCUAAGAUUUCUAUGAAUUCUGCUUCUUUAUAGUUAAGUCUGUUUUCCAUGUUCUGUCAUUUAUUUAGGUCAAGGACAAGUGCCUUCUAAGGCAUGGAUAAGGGCUUUCUUCUUAUAAAAGUCUAGACUGUCUUACUGUGAAGAUGCCCAGGGAGGAUAGCAAGCAAUGGCAUUCUUGAACAAUCUAAGGCAGGGUUCUCAGUGUGGUCCCGGGAACAGAAGCAUCUGCAUCACCUGGGAAUGUGUUAGAAAUGCAAGUUCUCAGCCCCAUCCCAGACCUACUGAAUCAGAAACUCUGCGGGCUAGGGCUGAAACCUGCUUUCAUAAGCCCUUCAGGCAAUACUGAUGUAAACUAAAGCUUAAAAACCACUGUUUUGAUGUGACUUCAUGAAGAAUAUAAUUAUAAUAUCACCUAAAUUUUUAUCCUGGCUGGGAUAGGGCAGAUUCUUAUUAUGGACAAUUUCUGGAACUUACAGUAUGAAGAGCAGAUGAAGAGUUUGAGACAAAAAGUUGCACAGGGAGUUUAGUGAAUUUUUCCAUCAGGUUGGCCAUUACUUUCUUUCUCCAAAGUCUCAGGAUGUCUGGAAGCAAGGAAAGACACAAGACUGGAAGCAUCGGGUGGAUGCUGUGUGUCACAAGUGAGGUGGAGAGUUGACUGUGGAAGGUACAGCAAUUCCUCUGGAAUUAAAUGACCGACCAACACUGUAGGAAGAAGAUGAAGAGAAGAUGUUUUAAGUCGCUACAUGAAUCAGUGGAUGACUCAUAUUUUCACUUGCAUAUGAAAUAUAAGGCAGUUAACAUCUUGUUUGUGGCUUAAGGAAAGAAAUUAAUAUUACUAGACGAAGGGGAAGUUGGUUCUGUUGUCUUAAGGGAUGCCCCCUUGUGAUUUUGGUCAACUGAAUGAAAAAGGAAAGAUAGCCUUGGACCUUUUUUUCAUGGGAGGUUUGGAGGUCAAGCAUGUAGAAGGAAAAGGCUGUAGUCAUGAAUAUAGAACUGUCUGCUCUCCACCUUUUCCUUACUGUACAUUUAGUCAUCACACUGAACAGGAUGUGGCUUGCUGACAGUGAGUAGCUGAAGUGCCUAUUUGGUAAGUAGGUUAGCAUUCAACAUGAACUCUGAAAGCCAUUUCAGUGUUUGAAUGCUGCUCUGACCCUGCUAUGGUACAAAAAAACAUGGAUUUUUUUUUUUUUUUUAACUGGAGUAAUACCAAAUUCCCUUUAGAAGCUUGAAGUUUGAUACUAUUGCUUUCCCCAUUAUAACAAUUAUACAGUAUUAAUUAUAAGGCCCAAAGUUUGUUUUGGCAAAUAAAGCAUUAUUCUCUAUCAUCA